UACGUAGGGGGCGAGCGUUAUCCGGAUUUAUUGGGCGUAAAGCGUUCGUAGGCGGUUUGUUAAGUCUGUGAUUUAAGGCCGGAGCUUAACUCCGUGUUUGUUGCGGAAACUGGCAAACUUGAGUGUGGUAGAGGCAAGUGGAAUUUCUAGUGUAGCGGUUAAAUGCGUAGAUAUUAGAAGGAACACCAGUGGCGAAGGCGGCUUGCUGGGCCAUUACUGACGCUGAGGAACGAAAGCGUGGGGAGCAAAU
rnacentral:rRNA from 1 species